UACGUAGGUGGCAAGCGUUGUCCGGAAUUAUUGGGCGUAAAGCGCGCGCAGGUGGUUCCUUAAGUCUGAUGUGAAAGCCCACGGCUCAACCGUGGAGGGUCAUUGGAAACUGGGGAACUUGAGUGCAGAAGAGGAAAGUGGAAUUCCAAGUGUAGCGGUGAAAUGCGUAGAGAUUUGGAGGAACGCCAGUGGCGAAGGCGACUUUCUGGUCUGUAACUGACACUGAGGCGCGAAAGCGUGGGGAGCAAACAGG
rnacentral:rRNA from 1 species